ensembl:lncRNA
GUAGGACCCUUCAGAGCGUCUCGGUCCGAACUAUAUAUAGACCCGGAACUAGAACUAUAGUGGUACUGAAGCAGUGCUUAGUUUCGCUGUCUUUACUGUUGAUAUGAAACUGCGUUUGUGUACAAUCUCAAACUCGAACAACUCAUCCACAGGAUGAUUAAUCAUUCACUUGUUCCGAUAUUUAAACUGAAUUUUCAGAAACCAGUUUGCGUUUUGUUUCGACUGCGUUUCAUUUUGGGUCCGAGCUGAGAAAACGAAAGUUAGUCUGAGACUAAACCGGAUGACGAUGUUGGGUUUCUGAAUCUGUUCUUAAAGUCAACAGAUGUGUUGGUUUAUCAGAACCACUUUCAUACUGUUCGACCCUACUCACUUUAAUUCUUUAUCAAUUCAUAUCAUCAUAUCAACCUAGCUAUCAACACAGAUAGCUAGGUUAACCCAUUCCCCCUAUACCACACAGAUAGCUUGGUUAACCCAUUCCCCCUGUACAACACAGAUAGCUAGGUUAACCCAUUCCCCCUAUACAACACAGAUAGCUAGGUUAACCCAUUCCCCCUAUACCACACAGAUAGCUAGGUUAACCCAUUCCCCCUAAAUAACACAGAUAGCUAGGUUAACCCAUUCCCCUAUACAACACAGAUAGCUAGGUUAACCCAUUCCCCCUAUACAACACAGAUAGCUAGGUUAACCCAUUCCCCCUUUACAACACAGAUAGCUAGGUUAACCCAUUCCCCCUAUACAACACAGAUAGCUAGGUUAACCCAUUCCCUGUAUACAACACAGAUAGCUAGGUUAACCCAUUCCCCCUAUACAACACAGAUAGCUAGGUUAACCCAUUCCCCCUAUACAACACAGAUAGCUAGGUUAACCCAUUCCCCCUAUACAACACAGAUAGCUAGGUUAACCCAUUC